rnacentral:sRNA from 1 species
UGAUGUCCUUGUAUGUGUACAUGACUAA